UUAUUUAUUAAUAAUAAUUUAUUUUAUUAUUGUAUUUUGCUUAAUUGAAAAAAUAUAUGAAAAUUAAUUUUUGUUAAUAUUUUCUUAAUGGAUUUUAAUAAUUCUCAGUAUUUAAUAUUAAAUAUUAAAGAAAUUUAGAUUUAAUUAUUAAUUUUAAUAUAAACUAAAUAUGUGCCAGCAGUUGCGGUUAUACAUGAUAUGUGAGUACAAUAGUUUGGUUAUUAGUAUUUAAAAUAUGUGUGUAAUUUAUAAUUUAAUUUUUUUUAUAAGGUAAAAUUUAAUUAAGAAUUAUUGUUGUAAUUAUUUUAUUCUAUUAAAUUUUAGUUAAAAUUAGGAUUAGAUACCCUAUUAUAAAAAUUUAAAAUUUAUUACUUAAAAAUUAAUAGUUAUGUUCUUUAAAUUUAAAAAAUUUGGCGGUAUUUUAGUCUUAUUAGAGGAACCUGUUUAUUAAUUGAUAAUCCACGAUUAAUUUUACUUAUUUUUAAAAUUCAUAUAUCCCUGUCAUGAAUAUAUUAAAAAAUUUAAUUACUUUAAUUAAUUUUAUAAUUUAUGUUAAGUCAAGAUGUGGUUUAUACCUAAGUUUAUAAUUUGUUACAUUAAAUUUUAUUUUUGGAUUUUAUAUGAAAAUUUGUUAAUGAAAUUGGAUUUAAUAGUAAUUUUAAUUAUUUAAUUAAUAUGAAUAUAGAUCUAAAAUAUGUACAUAUUGCCCGUCAUUCUUAUUAAAUAUAAGACAAGUCGUAACAAAGUAAAUGUACUGGAAAGUGUAUUUAGAUAGA
rnacentral:ncRNA from 1 species